AGGACGAACGCUGGCGGCGUGCCUAAUACAUGCAAGUCGAACGGUCUUUCUAUGGAAGCUUGCUUCCGCUGAGAAGAUAGUGGCGAACGGGUGAGUAACACGUGGGUAACCUGCCCAUAAGAGGGGGGAUAACAUCCGGAAACGGGUGCUAAUACCGCAUAGUUUUCUUGAUCGCAUGAUCGGGAAAGAAAAGACGGCCUUUGUGCUGUCGCUUAUGGAUGGACCCGCGGCGUAUUAGUUAGUUGGUGAGGUAACGGCUCACCAAGACGAUGAUACGUAGCCGACCUGAGAGGGUGAUCGGCCACAUUGGGACUGAGACACGGCCCAAACUCCUACGGGAGGCAGCAGUAGGGAAUCUUCCGCAAUGGACGAAAGUCUGACGGAGCAACGCCGCGUGAGUGAAAGAAGGUUUUCGGAUCGUAAAACUCUGUUGUCAGAGAAGAACAAGUUGGAGAGUAACUGCUCCAGCCUUGACGGUAUCUGACCAGAAAGCCACGGCUAACUACGUGCCAGCCGCGGC
rnacentral:rRNA from 1 species